rnacentral:rRNA from 1 species
CUACGGCCAUACCACCCUGAACACACCCGAACUCAUCUGAUCUCAGAAGCUAAGCAGGGUCGGGCCUGGAUGAGAUGGGAAACAAUUAUUAACUUCAAACUGUGAAGU